CUUGGGCCAUCUUCUACUUCUACUUCUACUGUGGCUUUCCCAGGCCACAGCAGAGAGCUGGAUUGGAAGAGGAGCAGCUGGGACUAGAAUGGGCACCCAUAUGGGAUUAACCUACUGCACCAGGGUGCCGGCCCCAUAAAUAAAUCUUUAAAAAGCAAAAAGAGUUACAGAGAGAGGUCUUCCAUCCACUGGUUCACUCCUCAAGUGCUCCCAACAGCCAGAACUGAGCCAGGCCAAAACCAGGAGACAUGGGCUUCAUCCAGGUCUCCCACAUGGGUGGCAAGAGCCCAAGUAUUUGGGCCGUAUCCUGCUGCUUUUCCCAGGUCACUAGCAGGGAGCUGGAUUGGAAGUGUAGCAGUUGGGAUAUGCCCAUAUAGGAUGCAACCAUAGCAGGAGGUCUGUUUACGCACUACACUCUGAACUUUUUAAGAGUCUCCUUUAUGCAUGGAUUUCAAAAAAUUUUUUCACCAAAAUUAAUUUAUCUUUUAAUUCCAUUUUUUACAAGCUUUUUAUCAGUGCUGGAUCAGGGCAAAUCCACAUGAACCACACAUCCCAUUUAUAACUUGGAAGUGUGUUGUCCAGUUUUACAAAAAGAAAUAAUGCAAAGGAAAGCACACCUGGUUGCAGGAAGACAACUUAGUGUGAUAGGCCUUCCUUUGCGAGGUCACGUGACACAGCACUCCUUUGGUGCCUGCGUAUGGAUUCUGCUGUAACCAUGAUGGUCAUAGGCAAAUUGUUUCAUCACUGUGGGCUGUGUACUACAGUGUCAUAAGUGUUUUGUGAGAAGGAUCUAGUGAUGUAGCAAGUGCUCAAAAACCAUGACUGAGCCAGACGGACUCUGAAUGAAUAAUACUGCUGAAUGAGUUGAUUUGUUCAACACGCACUAUAGUUCCUCAUGCAAGACAUUGUGCAUGGGCUUACAUGUGACUUUCUUUAGCGUGGCUCAUGUAAAAUUACCUGGCUCUUCCAAACGUCAAGCAAACCACAUUAUUGCUUCCUACCACAGUGGUGUGCACUCUUUCCAUAUCUUAUUCGUAUCUACCAAAGAUAUACUGAAAAGAAUAAACUACUUUUGCAGAAAAUUCCAGGCAGAGAAACGGAAUGUACCACUUAAGUCGUCAUCUAUCGUGGAAACAUUUGGUGCAGCCAGUCUCCAAUGUAAAGUACUCAUCCUUACAAUUUACUUCUGAUCUUCAUGACCAAUGCCAACACUGUGAGAACUGGAACCAAGUUGCAAAGGCCAGUGGCAAUGCCCGAGGCCUCUCCUGUAGAGCGGAUGCCCUUGUGGACGCACCAUUGAGAUGAUGGGAAUUUGCUGAGACUUGUGAGCUGCUAAAGGAAUGUGCCAGGAGAAAGCGCUUCUUGUGCCACUGAGAUCUCUCGGGAGAACUCUCUCCAGAAGGUUAUGGCGGACCAGGACAGCACAGGCUGGACAGCAGACUGUGGUCAGUGGUACUCUCCCAAAGAAGCAAUUUUCCCAGAUAAGUAAUACUUCUUGUUGUCAUUAGUCAGUGUCUUAAUGAGCUUUUCUCUUUGACUAUAUGCGGAUGUAAACCAGGUUGGGCUUUACCUGCUCAGUUCAGGCAGUAAAUCAGCAGGAGGUGGGAGCUGGUGUUGAUGGCUACCACCAUCUUAUGUCUCCCCUCUCCUGUAAUAUAAUUUCAAAUGCCUCCACACCACCCCACCCCAGAAUAUAAUAUUAAGUGAAAAAAGUUAAUUACAAAAGAAAGCAUACAACAUGAUUCCAUGGAUAUAAAGCUCAAAAUUUGUAAAACUGGAAGUGUGCAUGUAGCCUUGUGGUUAAGGUGCCCUCAUCCUACGUAAAAGUGCCUGUGUUCAACUCCUGGCUCUUAGUCUAGACUCCAGCUUUUGGCCAGUGCAGACCUUGGGAAGCAAUGAUAAUCACUCAAGUAGUGGGGUCCCUGCCACCUAUGUGCAAAACUUGGAGUGAGUUCUUGGCUCCUGGUUUCAGCCCUAGCCCAGCACCAAUAGUUGUAGACAUUUGGGGAAUGAACUGGCACAUGUGAGCACGUGCACUCUCUCAGUCCCUCCCUCUCUCUUCUUUCUUCCAUUCAAAUAAAUUUAAAAAUUUAUAAAACUAAACAAGUUUCUUUAGGGUAUAUUUAUGUAUUAGUAGCAAAACUAUACAGACAAGCAAGAGAACAAUAAACACAUGAGGAAUCUCCACAAAGGCAUUUAGGAAGUGCACCAGUAGAUGGGAGAUUCUCUCUCUCUCCCUCCCUCUCUUACUCCCUCUCUCCCCUUUCAAAUAAAAUAAAUAAGCAAAUUUUAAAAGUUCACGGCAAUGCAUAUUAUUAAAAAUAAUGCAUGGAUAUAAAAUAUUUUUGCAUCAAAAUAAACUUACCAUUUAAUUCCAUUUUCUAUGAAUUUUUCCUAAAAAUGCAAAGUAUGUUAAAAUUCAUGUAUGUUACUAGAAACCUGAGAGAAAAGACUGCAACUCAUACUUAUUUAUAUCUGACCCUCCCUCCACCCCUACCAUGUAGAUAUAGCUUAGCAGUGAGCUCAGAGCCUUACAAAUUGGACACUGAAAAAGUGUUAAAAAAUUGGUUCAUAUCAAAGUUCAGUGGUUUUUUUUUCUGAUUUACUUUUUUUUUAAAGAGAUUUUCUUUAUAUGAAAGGUAGAGUGACAGAGUAGGAGGGAGAGACCCAGAGAGAAAGAGAACUUGUAUCUGAUGGUUCACUCCCCAAAUUUCAAUCUUGGUGGGGGCUGUGCCAGGCUGAAACCAGGAGCCUGGAACCCCAGGCAGGCCUCCCACUUCAGUGGCAGAGGCCCAAGCACUUGGCCGUCUUCUGCCGCUUUCCCAGGCUCAUUUGCAGGAAGCUGGAUCAGAAGUGGCGCGUCGGACAGGCAAAAGAGCUCUCCAAUAUGGGGUGAGACGCCAGUGUUGCAGGCAGUGGCUUAACCAGCAACCAGCUGCAUAGCACCAGCACUUCUGCUUUCCUUCCUGACUUCACAAAAUACUUUUUCUCCAAGAAGUGGAGUUGUCAUUGAAGUAAAGUGUCAUCUUGUUGACCAACAGUUCUCUGAUUUCUCUUCCUUCCUGUAGGUCCACAGGGCUUCUAGGUAUUCCAGAACUCAAAGCUGCAUUAAGAAUAGCUACCUUGAAAUGUCAGUAGGUCCUUUUCAAAUGCUGCUUCUCUAAAUCUUCCAGGUGAAAAAGAAAUCAUUUGUUUUUUUUCAAAUGACCUGAGAUUUUACAUCUAAAAUAUCCAGCUCUUUAGUUGGUUUGCACAUCCAUGAUCACAUUCACGAUUAGCACAGACUUUUUGCAAUACACAUCAUAUCAAUAGAUGUAUUUAUAAAUGACACCUGAAUCACACCUGGAAAGACAUAUUUUAAUUAUAGCAGAGCUAUUAAAUGUAAAUAUGAGCCAUGGAUUUCCAGUCUUGAGUCCGUAUCGUAGUUUAUAAUUGUACCACAAAUUUCCUUUUGUGAAGAUCCGCGUUUUCCACAUUUCUCCCCUUCUAAGAGCUCCUUUUCUGGAAGAGUCACUCUGGAAAGAGGAGGAAGCCGGUUUCUGAGUCAGUGCUCAGGAAACAGCAGGUCUUUGCUUUGUAGGAUCUGGACUUAAUUCAAAGACUUUUUGGGCUCUAUUCCUAAUAAAAUAAACAAAAUCUGCCAUGAGCCAAUCAAAACAGACUUCGUUGGAACACUUGUGUGCCCUUGGCACUUAACAUAGUCAGUGUCUGGCAGGUAAGAAAAGAGAAAAAAACAAAGAAAAAUAGGGAGAAUAUCUUUCAAAAGGCAUCGGGAACCCCGAAUAAACCGAUUUGCUGUAGACCUUAGCAAUGCCAAAGACAAGACGGACGCGUGCGCUGCGUCAGAUGACAUUUUAGUGUCUUCUUUGCCACUUCUCAGGUGGGGAGGAGCAUACAAGUUCUCUGGAACAUGCAAAUCAAUUCUUUUAUGUAACUGAAUACUUAUUGCUAAUAAUUAAUGGAACCAUUCAUUUUAAAAGCCUAUCACACCCACUUCUGAAAAGGCCUGAGGCAGUUUACAUAUUAACACACAGUUCAAAGAUACACUAUUAUGUGUAAGUACUAAUGACACAGAAUCUGGGAGACACGCAGAAGCCAAGCCAUCGAGGAGCAGUCACGGUCUGGUUUUUUUAGGUGGCUUCAUAGCUUGGACACUACCUCCCACCAGUGCUCACUAGUGGGGACUACGUGUUCUGGAACUUUCCUCACUGCCACAGGGGCUGGCCUUCGUUGCCUGGCAGAAUCAGGAGGACAGCAGCAUAGGUUGAUUCAUUGGAGGAGGAGGAACAACACAGUCGCUUCUGUUCAACAGCUUCAGGUGAAGAACUAAAGGCGGCGGUACCUGAUUGCCCUGGCCGAGGGGGAGGUCCCAGCAUGAGAAACAUGUCGCUGACCUGAAUCCAAAAUACAGCUGAUAGCCAAGCCCAGACAACCCACAGCUUGUAUCAGAGCUGCUCAGCCAGCCGAGGUUACAUUAGUACAGCUGAUGGCAACCAUGGGCGUGAGAUGAACACCAGCUGAGAGAGAAGGUGUAACAUAGUGAUCCAGUGCUGCAGGUGGGUGAACGGGCUGCAGAGACAGAGCUGUCGGGACCCACCCAGGUUAGUGGUCAUGAAUUAAAAUGUGUCCCCAGGAUGGGCAUUUGGCACAGCUGUGAAGACCCUUCUGGAACGCCCACAUCCCACACUGGAGUGUCUGGAUUCAAGUCCUGCCUCUCUUCCAGAUUCCAGCUGCCAACUCCUGUGUACAGUGGGAGGCUCAAGCGCUGAGGUCCCCGCCACCCGCAUGGGAGACCUACAUGGAGUUUUGAGCUCCUGGCUUGCACCUGGCCCAGCUCCAACUGUUGUGGGCAUUUGGAGAGUCAAUCAGUGAGUGGAAGAUCUGUCUCUGACCAUCUGAUCUAUGUCUCUCUCUCUUUGUCUCUCUCUCUGCACCUUUCAAAUAAAUAACAGAAAAAUUAAUUAAGACCCCAUCAGUGUGGUCACGUUUUUCUUAACCAUGUGUCAUGGGUGCAGGUCACAUGGCACGUGACCUAGCUUCAACCAAAGUUAACAGUGUAUCCAUCACCACAAGGCGUGGAGCAAAAGACGAUGAGAUGUGUCUGCUCAGUGUAGCUUUGUCUCUAAACCAGCAGCAUCCCAGGAGCACUGGAGUUCAGUGGCAGUGCCUGGGACCCACAGGAGUCUGUGCAUCACGGGCACCUGUGGCUGAUGCUGCCAGGGCUGGUUGUGAACAGAGAAAUGUCAGUCAGAACGGGGAGCUGCACAGGCCCACAUGCUGUGGCCUGCCCUGACCCCGCAGCAGACAGCAGUGCACACCAGCAGGAACACAUCCCAUACCAUCCGACAGCCUUGUGUGCUCCUGCAAGAUCUUGAACGUGUUCAUGAAGUUGCUGAAUCGCAGUCGCUCUAUUUCUCCAUCAGCAGACUAAAUCCGUGUGAAAAUUAAAAGGCGAAAGUAGACAUGAUCAAGAAACUUGUUCCUGCUUGAAUAUCCUCAGACCCACUCCUGCGUUCGGCAGAUGGCCUCAAAGUACACGGCCUCUCGCCUUAUCUGGGCUUUUAUUUACAUAUCCGUGUCAAUGUUGUUUUAGAAUUCCGGUUUCCUGAUAAGGAGUUAUGUUUGUAUUUAGAAAAACCCAGUGCCUCCUACAGUAUCCUGCAUCCAGAGGACAUUAAUCACUAACGUUUUCAAUUUUAUAUAAAAUAAAUUUCUUUAUAAAAUACCUUCGCCUCAAUCCCUGGAUGGUAUUUUAUUAAUUAACAGUUCUAAUGCAUCCAUAAAAUAGCUGCUUUAUCCACUGGGGCAAAUAUCAAGUCACAUAUAUCAUUUAAACAAUGAAAGUCACCGUUUAUUAGAUAAACUCAAAGGCAUUAGCUGGUUUGUUUAAGUGAUAAUAUAGAUACAUUGUAUCCCCCAUGCAAUACUCACCCAAGUCAGAAUGAAAGAUGGAAGGGUAGACCAUGAAAUUGGGAAGUAGAAGUGUAGUGCUGAAGAGCAGUACUUCCCUUCUGAUCCAGCUCUCUACAGAUGUGCCUGGGAAAGCAGCAGAAGAUGGCCCAGGAACCUGGGCCCCUGUUACCCAUGUGGAAGAUCCACAUGGAGUUCCAGGCUCCUGGCUUCCAUCUGAGCCAGCCCAAGCCAUUGUGUCCAUUCAGGGAGCAAACUAGCUGAUGGAAGAUAUCUCUCUGUGUGUCUCUGUCUCUCUCUUUACUCUGCCUUUCAAAUAAAUCUUUUUUAAAAAUUAAAUUUAAUAAAAAUCAGAAUUCAUAGUCAAAAACGUUGAAUAGGACAGUCAUUUUACACCCAUGGAAAGUAGCAUUCUCCCUGCCAUUGGCACUCCUUGAGAAGUCACAUAAUUGCCUAGAUAUGUGCCUCGUGGAUCGCUAACCUCUAAUUGAACCUCUGGGUUUUGUCAGUCCCCAUUCUCCCAAAUGAUGGUGUUUCUCCAAAGAUGGUAUUUCCUAUUUCUCACCACUCUCAAACACGCCAUUCUUCAGAGAUGAUCUCAUUUCGAGCUCCAGCAAUAACUCAUCGGCAGUCCCUUGGGCCAACACUGUCCUCUCCCCCUUUUGCCUGCCUUGAUCACACCCUGAGAAGAGAAGACCCAUAGGAAAGCAGUGAUGCAGUGUUGGCCCUAGCUACUUUAAAUUUCUUGUCCUGUGAGAAAAAUGAACCCUUGCUUGGGUGAGGUACUGUUGGUAGCUGGGUUUCUGCUACUUAGAGUUGACAGCACUCCUAACUGCUGCUGACCCCACGCUCUGCUUCCAUUCACAACUGGAGAGAGGUCCCUUAUACAGAACUGUGUAACCCUGAUCUUCCUCCUGCUCCUCCUCUCAGAGGUCUCUCUCGAGGGAUUACAACCGCUCUCUCCACAGUAUCUUCAGUCUUUCAGGAAGUAGUAGGCAGUUCGCACCAUCAGUGUUUAAAUACACGCAGGUCUCUCUCACACUAAAGUAAAAAUAAUACUGUCCCUCCACCUCCCAUUUGUCUCCAGCUGCUCCCUUAUCUCUUCCCUCUCACUGACAUUGUGUUCACAAGAGCCGCCUGCAUUCACCAUCUCCAGCUUCUUAUUUCCUAUCCAUUCCACGACCCCGUUGCAUCUGGAUUUAGCCUUGACCAUUGCCUGAACGUGCCUUGGCCAAGGUCACCAGCAACAUCCUUAUUGCAAAUGCAAUGAGAAGUUUUCAAUUCUUAUCUUAUUUGACUUCUUUGUAGCAUUUGACAACCGUGACCACUCAAUCCUUUUUGAACUACUUUCUUUUCUUGAAUUUUUAAAAACCAUUUUUGGUUUCUCCUCUCCUCUUUAGCAGAUACAUCUAAGUCAACCUUGAAGUAACCUCUUCUUUUGCAAGUCUUUUGAGUGUUGGCAUGAUAUUAGGAGCUUUGUAUUGAAGUCUUUGACUACAGUUGCUCCAUACUGGGCAUAAUUUUUUUGGAAUUUUACAAUUUAUUUUUCAUUUUAUUUGAAAGGCAGAGAGAGAGAGAUCUUCAUUCCACUGGUUUGUUCUCCCCACAACAGUUGGGACUGGGCCAGGCAGAAGCCAGGAGUCCAGAACUCCCACAGGGGUGACAGGGACCUAAGUACUUGCACCAUCACCUGCUGUUUCCUAGGGUAUGUGUUAAUAAGAAGCUGGAACUGGAAGCAGAGCUGAGACUUGAACCCAGGCCCUCCAGCAUGCAAUGUGAACAUCCGAACACCUGCCCUGUUACUGUAUGUCGGCAGGCUCCCCAGCCUGUUUCUUCUCCCAUGUUGUCUCUCUCCAUGUCCACCCUUGUGGUCCGCAAUGUCAAAGUGACCCUUGAUGCUCCUCUCUCUCUUGGUUCUCCAAUCUAUUUAAUCAGCAAGCCCUGUAAAUUCUUUCUGCAAAAAUGUCUCUCAAAUCUGCCCCUUCACCUAGUUUCACCAAUCUUAGCCUAGAUGGACCCCCCUCUGCCAUCAGUUCCCUGAUACUUCUCCUUCUGUGGCCCCGUCUCUCUGCUGCAGCUAAAGGGAACUUCUAUUAGGUUCUCCAAAGCUGCCAACUUCUCUCUCACCUCCGGGCUUUCAUUCAUGCUAUUUUCUCAAACUACUAUUCUUAAUUUUUUAAAAAUUUUAAAAGAUUUAUUUAUUUAUUUGAAAGGCAGAGUUGGGGGUGAGGAGAGAGAGAAAGGUGUCUUCCAUCCACUGGUUCACUCCCCAGAUGGCCACAAUGGCUGGAGCUGCGCCGAUUCAAAGCCGGGAACCAGGAGCUUCUUCCAGGUCUCCCACGAAGGUUCAGGGGCUCAAGGACUUGAGCCAUCUUCUGCUGCUUUCCCAGGCCAUACAGAGAGCUGGAUCGGAAGUGGAGCAGCCGGGACUCGAACCAGCGUCCAUAUGGGAUGCCAGCGCAACAGGCUGUGGCUUUACCCACUAGGCCAUAGUGCUGGCCCCAGAACUCUUUAAUAAUAUUUGAAUUCUCAGUGUAAGUGUUACUUACCUGGUACCCUUAGGCUAGGCUGGAUACUGCAGCAGCACAGCAGUAUCAAUGUUUUUGUUUUAUUUUGCUACAGGAGGACACAUUUCAUCUCUAGUUACCAGCCUCUCCAAAUAGAUUUCUAUGCUAAAUUACAAUAUCCAUAUUUUAAUUUUAUUUGCACCAAGCUAAAAAUUCUCAGUAUAGCAUUGGCAUUCAUCAAAGGUUAUGAACUGAAUGCCUGAACUAUGAAAAUUUCCAUUUAGGUUUAAGAACUACUUAACAUAACAUGUAAAAGUAAUAAAUGAAUGAAUGAUGGAACAAAUGAUCAUUACAAUGACUUUUGUGUCAUUAAAGAUAAUUAUAUUCUACUUAUUGGAAUGAAUAUGCUACUUUUAAAAGUCAAGAGUAGGGGCCAGCUUUGGGCAUAGUCGGUAAAGCUGCCACCUGCAACACCAGCAUCCCAUAUGGGCACCAGUUCGAGUCUAGGUUCUUCCACUUCCAAUCCAACUCCUUGCUAAUGUGCCUGGGGAUGCUGCAGAAGAUGGUCUAAGUCCCUGGGCACCUACGACCACAUGGAAGACCUGGAAGUAGCUCCUGCCUCCUGGCUACGGCCUGGCCCAGCCCUGGUGGUUGCAGCCAUUUGGGGAGUGAACCAGCAGACGGAAGAUCUCUGUCUCUCCUUCUCUCUCUCUGUAAUUCUGCUUUUCAAAUAAAUGAAAUAAAUCUUAAAAAAAUUAAAAAGCCAAAAGUGAUCUUCCAUUUUCCCCGGAGUAUAUUGCCUAUUGCAACAGAAGUUCCCCGAAAGAACAAUUAAACAGAAUAUGUAUAAAACACUCCCUACAUCUACAGCGAUUGUUCAAGCUGAAAAGAUUACACAAAGUACUGAAGAACCUAGACAUGAUGCGGAAGUACAAGGUCUAACUAAAUCCUGUGAUGAUUAGUGAUCACCAGGGACACAGAGGCCAGCAAGACUUACAGUAAUUUAAGGGUAAAACCAUUAUGUAACAGUGUUACCAGUAAAUUCGGAAAUAACAAUGUGACAUUAUUGAAACAUUCAGAUUAUUGCCAGGACUUACUGUAAUUAGUUUUCUCUACUUAAUAUGCAUGUGGUUCAGAUUAUCACACCAAAAAGCGCAUUUGUUUGAUGAACCAGAAGCCAAAACACCGAUUAGCUCAAACGUUUCACACAGUUCCAACCGUCCAAUGCCAACAAAACAUAAUUGAGCACACAAACGUCUAUGUGCAGCCCAGAUAAAUUUUACAGCAAGUUAUCUAUUUAUUUUUUUCUUUUUAAACUUUAUUUAUUUAUUUGAAAGAAUUGCAGAGAGAGAGAUAGAGAGAGAGAGAAAGAAAGAAAGGAGGUCUUCCAUCCGCUGGUUCACUCCCCAGUUGCCCCAAACGGCCAGAGCUGAGCCAAUCUGAAGCCAGGAGCCAGGAGCUUCUUCCAGGUUGCCCACAUGCGUGCAGGGGCCCAAGCACUUGGGUCAUCUUCUACUGCUUUCCCAAGCCAUAGCAGAGAGCUAGAUCGGAGGUAGAGCAACCAGGACUCAAACUGGGGCCCACAUGGGAUGCCGGCACUGCAGGUGGCAGCUUUACCCAUUAUGCCAUAGUGCCAGCCCAACCUAUUUCUUUAUUCCAAGGAUAAAAUGGUAUUUUUCCUACAUUUUAAAACUUUUUUUUAUAAAGCAUGAGACAAAAGGACAGCUAUUGUCAUGUUUAGCAAAAUAUAUUUCAAUAUAAUUGUGUAAUUUUAUGAAGGAAAAGCCUGUCUAAAUACAAACAGAGUCCACAUUCAGAUGAAGAAAUGAUAAAGGGCUGGCACUGAGGCACAGGGGGCUAAGCCACAGCCUGCAACAACAGCAUCCCUUGCGGGUACCAGUUAGAGCCCCAGCUGCUCCACUUGGAUCCAGUACUCUGUUAAUGAGCCUGGGAAAGCAGCAGAGGACAGCCCACUGCCCCUGCACCCACAUGGGAGACCCAGAAGAAGCUCCUGGCUCCUGGCUUGAGCCUGGCCAAGCAGCUCUGGUUAUUGUGGCCAUUUGGGAAGUGAACCAGCAGAUGGAAGAUCUUUCUCUGUCUCUCCUUCUCUCUUCCUGUAACUCUGAAAAAGAUAAAAGCAAAAAAAAAUUAAAGAUCAAUUUUUAUAUUUUAUCAUUGAUCUUUUAAGCCAGAUCUGGCUGAGAAAUAUGAUUGAGGCAAAAUGCCUGGCAAAAGCUGUCAAGCCAAUCUAUUCCUUCACAUUUCAUGUUUACUUGCUUUAGGAUUCAAAACUUUCCCUAUAACGUUUAUAAUUUGUUUACAGCUGGGACUCCACACUCUUAAAUUUUCUGUUGACUCUAGAAUUCAGUUUUAAGUUCCUGGAAGGCAGGUCUCAUGUGUAUAUAUCUUAUUAAGCUGCACAGCACUCAGAUACACAACGAUCUGAAAAUAAAUGAGUAAAUCCCGUAUCACAUAUUGUGGUACACUGGAGUAGGAUCAGAAUUGGCCUUGGACUUGGGUGGCUGACUGCCAGAAACCCAUCCUCUGGUGGCCUGCUGUGUGACACCCUUUCUCCAGUUAGAGGCCCUACUCCUUGGCCACAGCGGUGAGCACACUAACCAAGGUUACCUAAGUAGAGUCCUUCUGGGCCCGGAAACUAACUCUGGGAAAGAGGAGCUCUUCUCUCUGAUCUCAGAGCUCCUUGGAGCUGAGUGUUGGCCUUGUCUAGAGCUGCUUUCUCAGCUUCCAGGAGAAGCUGUCUCUAUAGGUUAGAGAGAGAGAGAGAGAGAGAGAGAGAGAGAACAGAGGAAGGGGAUGAAGGGAGGCCCGUGAACCCUACACCCCUAAAGCCAGCCUCACCCAUGCUGUUCCUGCAGUUAGAUUGUAAGAGCCAAUAAACUCCACUGCCUCACAAGGUCAUGUAAGGAUGCCCUCACUGGGAGCCAGAAUUCUGAGGAGUACAGACCCAGAAUUGUAUUCUUAUAAGGACCCUUGGAAUUCAUGGGGGCCAAAAUCCUCACGUUAGGUAUUAGGAAAAUGGAUUAGUUAAAGAGGUUAAGUACCUUGCACAAAGUCCAGCAGUGACAUUGUGAGGAAGAAGAAUACCGUGACCUGUUCUGUAGACUGGUUCUGUCCUCAUUCUAAAGCCGUUGUCGCUGGAGACUACCAACACGUCCCAGUCUCCCUGCAGCGGGGGCACAGACAUGUGGCCUGCAUCCCUGGCCAGGACAGGCAUGUGCCUGGGGCUUAGAUGACAUGCGAGCAACGACAGGGUUUGUACCUUCUGGGGAACAUGUGGUGGUCCCUGUAAGACAACUGAGCAGAUUCUCUGGCACGUAGUCUUCCACCUGCCAGUGCAGCGGUGGCCCCCUACAACCACCGGUCUCCUGUUUGCUUUGACUGAGUAGGGUCCAAAUGGGUGGUAUGGCUCUCUCAAAAUGCUAGAGCCAUCUCAUAACUGUCAAUAAGCACUUUCAUUUGUAAAUUAGUUAGAUUGCUGAUUGAGACCAAGGAAGUGGCAGACUGGAGCUGUCUCUCUCUCUGUCUCUCUCUCUCUCUCAAAUAUAAAUAAUUUGUUUUAAAAAACAGCUUUGACUUCUAUACAAUUUGGUGCCUGGAAUUGGGGGGGCAGUGUGCACCUAGGGCAUAUAUGUCGUAAACCAGGAAGCCAGUAACUCUUGCUUGCAAUGAUGUCAGAGUUUGUCCAACAGUGCCCUGCUGAGCCUUGGAAAGCAGACGGUCCUGUGAAUGAGGGAGUAAGGAAAACUUAGCCUAGAAUAAAGACAAUUUAAUAGGGCAUAGGUAAUAAUUCUGAGUGAACAGACUAGUCAAACUUCUCAGUAUCACUUAGAAAUUCAGUAGAACUUAAAAAUUGUUUUUAGCUGUAUCAGAAACUAAAAUAUAGAAACUAAAGUAAAUUGGGGUUUUAUUUUUUUUCACAUCUUGAAAAUAGUGGCCACUAAAGGGAGACUCAUUCCAUGUACUUUCUGUAUUCAAAGUGGAAUCCUAAACCAUCAACAGAAAAGUGAAGAGAUAGGCAGUAUUCCAAAAGAGACAGGAGUGGUCUCUCUUACUCUAAAAGUAUUUCACUAGGCUCUCUUUGUAUUUUGAUCAUGUAUAUUGCUUUACAACUUAAGACAUACAUUCAGAGUCUUCUCUAUCUCUGUCUCCUCUCACCCCCUCCUUCCUCUCUCGCCCCUUCUCCCUCUGCCUUUCUUUUGUUCCCUACAACCCUGUAAGGCCUCUGAGUCGUCACAGUUCAUGAUGCUUUCCAUUUCAGAGACAAAGAAACCAAGGUUUGGGGCUAGUGUGGUAAUACAGUGAGUUAAGCUGUCACUUAACAAUGCUAGCAUUCUAUAUCAGAGCACUAGUUCAAGUUCCAGUCACUCCACUUCUGGUCCAGCUCCCUGUUAAUGCACCUGGGAAGAAGUUGGCCCAAGUGCUUGGUCCCUAGCCACCUAUGUGGGAGACCCAGAUGGAGUUCCUGGCUUCAGCCUGGUCAACCUUGCUUGUUGUGGCCCUUUGGGCAGUGAACCAGAGGGUGGAAGAUCUCUCUCUCUUUCUCUCUCUCUCUCCCCCCUUCCCCCCCCUCUCUCCCCUUCCCUCUCUCCCUCUCUCUCUUCUUCCCUCCCACCCUCUCUCCCCCUUUCCCCUUCUAUCCCUGUCUCCCCUUCUCCCCCU